CUUGAAAUACCCGCGAUGUUCGGGUCGGAGUCUGACGAUGGUCAGCAGGUGGCACUCUCGUUUUAGGAUUCCAGCUCCUAAGUCAUCUUCACAACAAGAUACAGAUUCUAUUAUCCUGCUGAUAGGCUGUGGGAAAACUGCUGGUAGAGAGGAAGAAGCUGGCAAUGGGCGUGCCAGCUGAUGAUGAGUGGAACAAAGUCCACGAGGAGUGGGAGGUGGAAGCUCGACGGAGCAGGUGGCAAGGAGAACUCAUCCACUGAGACAUGCAGUGCUGGAGGUGAAGCAGCCACAUGGUGACCAGGAGGCAACAAGCACGAAGACAAAAGCCACAUGCUAACAAAGACUGAAUGAAGAGAAAGGGCCUGUUGGGAGCAUUCUAUGUGUACUUAUUAGCCCUGU